ACUUUAAGUGCCGGAGAGCUAAGGCCUCACUUAUAUGCACCCAGAUGCCCCCGAGAUCUCCAUUUUCCCCAAAUGCAUAAAAGGCUAAAAACGGCCACAUUCCCCAGCACCACGGCGUGGCUGCAGCUCCUUUGUUUACCAUAUAAGUCACACCGGGGGUUCACUCCUCGCCCUCUCCCCUGCUUUAAAGCCGAGUGCGGCGGAAGACUGAGGAGCACCCCCAAACUCCUGCUCAGCCCGAGUCAAGCACCGAAAGCUUCACAGGUUUUUUUCCUGAGCCUUGAAGAGAAACCACAUAGCCAGAACCUUUUGAACUCCUAACCCCGCAGGGAUGUCCGCCUCCCAGAAGAGAGCCGGCUUCCCAGGCAGCUUAGGAAACUUAACCGAGAUCCCAGAAAGAAGGCGAGGUGUAGCUCCGGUCGAACGGAGCCCCGAGGCGACAUCCUCUUUACCUGCAAAGUUGCAAUCUUCGGGCUGAAGUGAUGGGAUCCGAGGACUGACGGCGCGGGUGCCGUGCGGGGUGAGAGCACGCCCGGCAAAUUCCAAUGGAAUUCCCUUAGUCGCUGCUGAGUUUUGGAGCAUUCCAAGGAAAACGAUCGAAGCUGGAGCCCACGCAGCUGGCACCGAACUGGGCGGAGUGAGGAUGCUCUGAAAGCGAAGCCAUGGGAGGCGGGGGAGGGGCGGCCCGGGAGGGGGAGGUAACCGCCAGGGGAGGAGAACCUCUCCCACCCCCGCCUGCACAGAUCCCUCUGGAUAAAGUUAAGAGUUCCCACGGCUGACAGCGGAUGAGCCCAGAGAAAGGCACCCCGCCCUCCGUCCCUGGUGGCUGCCGGGCUCGGGGUCCGCACAGACCGCGCUGGAAAGGGAUAGUCCGGGAAGAUGCGCGUCCCACGCACCACACUGCUUGGAGGUGGAGGAGACCCGCGCGCUGGCAGGAGCUGACGCUGCGUCCCCAGCUUGUCCCCCUCGAAUAGCCUCCACCUACCGGGGCCAACUGCUUGAGGUCAGCCAGUGGGCAGGGGAGCUCACCACCAGCCAGCCGUCAUCCAGCCAAGUCGGUGGCGAGAAUCCACCCUGUGGUUCUGGAUGCAAGCCAGACACACCUCCAGGCUUAGGGCGGUCUCUGCAGGCGUGUUGGACUUCAGUGCGCUCCGACACCCAGCUUUUGAAUGCCCUGCUCCCAGCCCGGUAAACAAGCACCCAUGAGGCCCGCCGCCCGACCGGAAAAAAGUAGUCCCCUGCAACUCUCAAAGCUUCUCCCACUCCCGCUUCUCUGGGCGACUGGCACCCCCUCUCCUGUCCUCAAGGUGUCAGACUUCCCUUGCAAGAGCUGGAGGAUGCGGCUUGCCACUAGUGUCAACAAUCAAAACAGUCGCAAUGAAUAAAUGAUGAGCCACAGCGUUCCAACCACCCUCAUCCAGCUUGGUCUUUCCAAAAGGCAUAGGAAAUCAGCAAGUUUCCACCAAAUAUACCAAAACCCUAAGACGCGAGCCAGCCCAAGGGUGCAAGGUUCUGCGGCUGCAGGUGCCUAUGAAACUGCAAUAAAUACAUAACAGAAGAGAACACCAAGGAGAGCACUAUAUAUGUCAACCAUCUGAGCAGGCUGUAUUCCCACGGAAAGAAGAAUUUGUAUUGAUCACUGAGCCUCCUUUUCAACAGUUUCAUGUGAUUAUUGAUUGCUGGUCUCAGGUCUCCUACAAAAUGAUUAGCAAUUACAGGAAAAUUAUUUGAAAUCUGUUUAAACAAUCUGGUGAAUUGCAUAUACUACAGUCAUUAGCAAUCCAAAGAGUUUAUUUUUAACAAUUUAAACAUAUGAGUUUGGCAGCAUUCUACGAACCUGCACUCCACAUAAAAUGCAAUUCAUUGAAGUCAAAGAAAUUUACAAUAAAAUGUUAUAUGCUAUCUAGAAUUUAUUUUAGUACCUUAUUAAACAGAACAAGAAAGCACUCAUGUUUCCAAAUUAGCAAGAGACAAGUGACCCAAGAAAUGAUAGCAGUAAAACAAUUCUCUGUAAUGUCUAUUUAUAGCUAAAGUAUAUUGUAGAAUUGGGAUCACAAUUGUUUUAGGAAUACAAUUUUCACUUUACUCCUAAAGGUUAUUGUUCUGUUUAGGAGCUGACAUGUAACAUGUAUGAAACACUGUUUCAAAGCUGUUAUACCUCAGACAUAGAGACAAAGUCACAGAGACAAGUAUUUGGAGAAUUUAUUCAUGCACAUGUGUCACCAUCAGCAUUUUUAUGUGCCAGUAAUGCAUCUGUGUAUGAUGCCAUCAUGAAGUAUAUGAUAUUGGCCUUUCUGAUGCUAAGAUAAAUUAAGAAAUAGGUUAUCAUUGUCUUUGAUGCCCAUGUGACCUGUCUUCCACCUUUGUGACCAGGCCUUUACCUCCUACUGCACAAGGGCUCACCCAAACUCACUGAAGGGGCUCCACCUCAGCUUAACUUUUGGAUUUGGCUCCUGCUCCAGGUUUUAGAAUCCUCUGUUCUGUCAUCAAUGUAAUGAGGCUUCAAUCUAACCUACAUGGCCAUGCUAUACACACAGCUUUUACCUGCCUAUUUUUUAAAAAAAUUAACAUUUUCUAAGUUAUCAAAAUGUUAUUCAAAAAUGUUAAUUUUAAUGAAUCACUACUUAUUUCUAUGAAAUACUUAAGUAUUUUUCAGGUCUUGAAAGUGUAAUUGUUUUUAUACUAUUAUUCCCUACUGGUAUACUUUUGUUGAAAGCCGUUACACAAGCAUUUUUGUCUGUAUCUCUAAUUAUGUCCUCAGAAUAGAUUCCUAGUAAUACAGCCCUGUGUCAUGAUGCAGAAAUAUUUUAAAGUACAUGCUGUAUGUUAUAAGGGAGCUUGUUGCAUUGAACCCUCAUCAAUACGGGGCAUCCUUAAGGUCCUUUUUCUUCUUUUCUUUUUUUAUUUUGACUGAUUUCCUACUUGAAAGAAAAUGGUAUCUCAAUGAGUUGUGUUAACUAGAAACGGUGACUUUUAUAUUUUGUGUACUUUGCUACUUGUUUCUUUUUGUGAGUUUACAUACUUUUUCAAUACUUACGGGGUUUUGUUGCUAUUCCCCCAUUUGGUUUAUAAUAACUCUUAAUAUUUGAACAUUAGUACAUUCCCAUAUUUAUGGAAGAUAUUUCUCAGUUUUUAAUUCUUUGUUAAAUUUGGAGGUAAUGUUAUUUAUUUUAAAGAUGUUUCAUUCUUACAAACAUUAAACUAUCAAAUUUUCCCUGA